UUUAAAAGCCUCCUUUCUUCUUCUAUGGUCCUCGUUUUGCCCCCUUCACCUCUCGCCUUUGUACAAUGUUCUUUUGGGAGAGGUCGUUGUUGAUGAUCAUAAUCCAUCCCAUUGUUUCUCAUAGAUUACUGUGUAUAAUUUUUGUUCCCAGUAGUGUUAUAAUGUCUGUCUCCACCAAGUGGUAACUACCACAGUUGGAAACUGAAGCCAAUGCAGAAGUCCCUGACUUACCUGCUGCUCUCCUCGGCUCCAGGACUCACAGCCGACGGGAGCCUCCACCCUUCACCACCCCGUUCUACAGUUCCCCCUGGUGGAUGCAGAUCAGACCUGUCUGUCUUCAAGGGACAAGUGAGACAUAAAGGCAACUUGAAGAGGAGUUACAAAAGGUUAGCAGUCUGAUGAUUUCCAGAAAAAUUACACUGAAUGUGUGACAGCUUUCAAAAUCUUCUGAGAUCCCUUGACCACUUCAGGUCAUGUGAGCAGGUGUCUCUCAAUGUCUUCAUCACUGGCAGGUAAAUAUCAGCUCACUAAUGGGGCCAGACUGAUGAUUUUUGGAAAAAUACCAAGCUCAAACACACGUCAGCUACGAGCUCAAGGACGAUGUGGCAGUUGUACGAUUCAACGAUCCAACAUCCCAGGUGAACGCGCUGUCGGUGCAGAUGCAGUCUGAGCUGAUGAAGGUGAUGGGUGAGAUCUGGUCCAACGGCUCUGUGAAAAGUGCCGUUCUCCGUCUCCAGCAAGCCCAGCUGCUUUAUCACUGGCGUGGAUAUCAAGUCAGCAGAUGUUCAAGAAGAUCGAGAACUCUCCCAUUCCCAUUGUUGUAGCCAUCAAUGGCUCUGCCUGGGUGGAGUUGUUGAGUUUGCGAUAUUCUGCCAGUACUGAGUUACCACCAAAAGCCGAAAAACAAUCCUGGGUGCAGCAGAGGUCAUGCUAGGACUUGUGCCUGGAGCAGAUGGCACUCAGAGACUGCCUAAAAUGGUGGGUCUCCCCGGAGCAUUUGACAUGAUGCUGACAGGCAGGAACAUCAGGGCUGAUAAAGCUAAGAAGAUAGGUCUAGUGCACCAGCUUGUGGACCCUCUGGGUUUACUCCAGGUCCUGGUUUGAGGCCUGAGGAGGAGAGGACUGUUGAGGAGGUGGCAGUAGGCGUGGCCAAAGGAAUCGCAGACUAGAAGGUCUAGUUACAAAGGAGAAGGGUCUUUAUGUCUCACAAGAAGCUUGACAGCAAGCUUCGGUUUUUCCUGUCAGCUGUGCAAUGCUGCUUGAUGAAGCUGGCAUUGAUGUAUCAUUACAUGUAGCAGAGCUCAUCAGACUCUCACAUCCAGUACCUGCCGAUGUCUUGCUUUAUAAACAAGGCAGUUCUAUGUCUCCAGGAGUGAGUACUGACAAACCCAGCAGAGGGAGACACUGGAACAGUGUUCGGACUUGACUUCCCUGCUUGGGCGCCCUUUGUAUCUUGGACCCCCAUCCAUCAGGUCCAUUCAGGUUUGUGGACUUGAUCGGGGUGGAACGUCUCGUCAGCAUCACGAUGCAUUUCGAGAAAGUUUAUGGAAACCAGUUCACACCCUGCCAGCAGCUGCUAGACCACACCAAAGACCCCAGUAAGAAGUUUUAUACAUGAUCCAACAUCCCUUUUCUAAAAUGACCCUCAGGGCUGAAACUGAGUAACUCAUGUCAGGUCAAGUGUCCACAAGGCUGGUGUGAAAACGGGAAUGAUGGAAAUGUAACCAGAACCCAGUGGUUCUGGGUACAAGGAACUGCAGCAUAAUUUAUCUAAAACCCAAAGUAUAUGACAUUUGUUAGAGAAAUGCACAAUUUAGUGGCCUUCAACUUGUGGCCUUUACAUUGUUUGAGUGUUUGUUUUUACGGUAUGCAUAAUUAAUGCUGUUAAACAGUGACUUUGCCUAAGGUAUUUUGUUUUUUUUACAGGUGAGAGUGGGUUUAGGAUAGUUUAAUGAUCUGAAACACUAACUUUAUAGCAGGUCUCCUUUUGGUUAUGGUAUUACUGGGGGGAGGGUAUGUACAGAGGCAAGAGGGAAGUCAGCUAAUUUGUUGAAAAUCUCAGUGUAACUCAGGUGAUACAAUUUAAAACGUGUUUGAAGUAUGACCUUAACACGGUGACAUACCUGGUUCUUGUGCUCUUGGUUUCCUCUAACAGAAACCAGCCUCCUCCCCAUAUAAAGACUCUCCUGUCAAACUGAAUGUGGCUUGAAUGAAGAGGAGGGAAUGCACUGUUUUUUUUUUCUUUUUUGUAUUUACCUGUAUACAACUCUUCUUGUACAUACCGCUAUUUAAUGCAUGGACAAAUUUUGAUUAUAAAGGAUUAUUACUAAAGGAUAGUCAGGUUCCCAAAUGAACAUCAACAUGUUUUUCUUGCUGUAAUCAUUCCUCCUGUUCAUACUGACCAUUAGAAUAUCCCUUCAUAAUG